GGGUCGGGCGCGGUGCUGCACUG
rnacentral:miRNA from 1 species